AUGAAUAAUGUUUGUGGUUAUCAUGGCUUAAACUACACUUCUGUGACAGCAAGUGGGAAUGAUAAUGAUAAGAACAACGCGGUUUUGGCUCAGUCAGACAUCCGUAGUGGACCCCAGAGAUCCCUGAGCAGCCCCCACCGCCGCCUCCGGCGCUAGUUACCAUCACACCCCGGGAGGAGCCGCAGCUGCCGCAGCCGGCCCCAGUCACCAUCGCCGCAACCUUCAGCAGCAAGGCCGAGACCCAGCAGCCGCCCGCCGUCCCCGCCCUUAGCGCGGGUGACACAACACCAGGCACUAUGGGCAGCGGCGUAGGAAGUGGUGGCCCAGGCGGCUUCACAUCAGCGGCACCUGCCGGCGGGGACAAGCAGGUCACCGCAACUAAGGUUUUGGAAACAGUAAAAUGGUUCAACAUAAGGAACGGAUAUGGUUUCAUACAGGAAUGACAUUAAGGAAGAUAUAUUUGUACCCCAGACUGCCAAAAAGAAGAAUAAACCCCAGGAGGUACCUUCGCAGUGUAGGAGAUGGAGAGACUGUGGAGUCUGAUGUUGUUGAAGGAGAAAAGGGUGCGGAGGCAGCACGUAUUAUAGGUCCUGGUGGUGUUCCAGUUCAAGGCAGUAAAUAUGCAGCAGACCGUAACUCUUAUAGAUGCUGUCCACGUCAUAGGGGUCCUCCACCCAAUUACCAGCAAAAUUACAAGAAUAGUGAGAGUGGGGGAAAGAACGAGGGAUAGGAGAGUGCCCCCGAAGGCCAGGCCCUACCACGCUGGCCCUACCGCAGGUGAAGGUUCCCACCUUCCUACAUGUGGAAACCCUAUGGGCGUGGGCCACGGUAUUCCAACCCUCCUGUGCAGGGGGAAGUGAUGGAGAAUGCUGACAACCAGGGUGCGGGAGAACAAGGUAGAUCGAUGCGGCAGAGUAUGUAUCAGGGACAUAGACCACGAUUCUGCAGGGGCCCUCCUUGCCAAAGACAGCCUAGAGAGGACAGCAAUGAAGAGGAUAAAGAAAAUCAAAGAGGUGAGACCCAAGGUCAGCAGCUACCUCAACGUCGGUACUGCCGCAACUUCAAUUACAGAUGCAGACGCCCAGAAAACCCUAAACGGACCGGGCAAAACCCUAAACCACAAGAUGGCAAAGAGACAAAAGCAGCCGAUCCACCAGCUGAGAAUUCGUCAGCUCCCGAGGCUGAGCAGGGCGGGGCUGAGUAAAUGCCGACUUACCACCUCUACCAUCACCCAGUUUAGUCAUCCAACAAGAAGAAAUAUCAAAUUCCAGCAAUAAGAAAUGAACAAAAGAUUGCAGCUGAAGACCUUAAGUGCUUGCUUUUUGCCCGUUGACCAGAUAAAUAGAACUAUCUGUAUUAUCUAAGCAGCAUGGGGUUUUUAUUAUUUUUACCUAAAGAUAUCUCU